GCCGUCUCAUCGGGGUGCGGAAAAGGGGCUGGCCCUUUUCUGCUGAGAGCACACCCGUCGAACCUGAUCCGGUCAAUACCGGCGGAGGGAUUUGAGCCUAGCGACCCA
rfam:Serratia symbiotica genome assembly, type strain CWBI-2.3T, contig: SYMBAF_Contig_1